AUUGCACGCUGGAGGCAGGCCUAACACAUGCAAGUCGAGCGGAGCGGCGGACGGGGGAGUAAUGCCUAGGAAUCUGCCUGGUAGUGGGGGAUAACGUCCGGAAACGGGAGCUAAUACCGCAUAAUACCAGAUGAGCAUAGGUCGGAUUAGCUAGUGGGUGGGGUAAAGGCCUACCAAGGCGACGAUCCGUAACUGGUCUGAGAGGAUGAUCAGUCAAACGUGAACUGAGACACGGGCCAGACUCCUCCGGGAGGCAGCAGUGGGGAAUAUUGGACAAUGGGCGAAAGCCUGAUCCAGCCAUGCCGCGUGUGUGAAGAAGGUCGUCGGAUUGUAAAGCACUUUAAGUUGGGAGGCGUUACCAACAGAAUAAGCACCGGCUAACUUCGUGCCAGCAGCCGCGGUAAUAC
rnacentral:rRNA from 1 species